rnacentral:rRNA from 1 species
UACGUAGGGUGCGAGCGUUGUCCGGAAUUACUGGGCGUAAAGAGCUUGUAGGUGGUUUGUUGCGUUGUUCGUGAAAUCUCACGGCUUAACUGUGAGCGUGCGGGCGAUACGGGCAGACUAGAGUACUGCAGGGGAGACUGGAAUUCCUGGUGUAGCGGUGGAAUGCGCAGAUAUCAGGAGGAACACCGGUGGCGAAGGCGGGUCUCUGGGCAGUAACUGACGCUGAGAAGCGAAAGCGUGGGGAGCGAACAGG